rnacentral:rRNA from 1 species
GUGCCAGCCGCCGCGGUAAUACGGGAGUGGCAAGCGUUAUCCGGAAUUAUUGGGCGUAAAGCGUCCGCAGGCGGCCUUUUAAGUCUGUCGUCAAAGCGUGGAGCUUAACUCCAUUUAAGCGAUGGAAACUACAAGGCUAGAGUGUGGUAGGGGCAGAGGGAAUUCCCGGUGUAGCGGUGAAAUGCGUAGAUAUCGGGAAGAACACCAGUGGCGAAGGCGCUCUGCUGGGCCAUCACUGACACUCAUGGACGAAAGCCAGGGGAGCGAAAGGGAUUAGAUACCCCUGUAGUCCUGGCCGUAAACGAUGAACACUAGGUGUCGGGGGAAUCGACCCCCUCGGUGUCGUAGCCAACGCGUUAAGUGUUCCGCCUGGGGAGUACGCACGCAAGUGUGAA